UACAGUCAUUGCAUUGACUGCAAUUUUCGGCAUCGGUCGUACUCGUGCAAGAGCAAUCUGCGCGGCUACAGCAAUCGCUGAAACA
rnacentral:tRNA from 1 species